rnacentral:tRNA from 1 species
GGGGUUGUGGCUUAGUGGUAGAGCGCUCGCCUAGCAUGUGUGAGGCCCUGAGUUCGAUCCUCAGCACCA